rnacentral:lncRNA from 1 species
AUGAAGUUGACAAGGAAUUAACUAUAUUGCAUUGUGCUACAUUGAUUUGCUUAAUCUAGGAAGUACUUAUAUACUCUCCAGAAUCCUCUUCUCCAUGUGGUUUCAGGUUAGAGCUAGCCAAGCAAACAACUUGCCUGGGAUCUGGAAGACAGAAACAAAGCAGUGGACAUUUCUCUAAGAAAUCUCAUGGUUGGAUAAGCAGUGCUGAGCAGGGAUUGAACUCAGGACCUUGAGCUUGAGAGGCAGGUGGGGUACUACUGUGCUACAUCUCUGGCCCUAGAGAGGAAAUGAACUGCAUCACUGAGAAGGAAGAGGAGGGCAGUGAUCCAUAGCACACCAUUCCUGAGAUGUUGAAACACAGAUCACAGAAGAAUGUUUCUGGUGACAUAAGUCACCUCUUAUUUCUCUUCUUAGAGUCUCUAAAUGUGUCUGUCUCUCUGACAAUGAAAAUCAAAGCCCAGUGUAAACCAACCCCUCUUCAAUCUCCCUCCUCCUACUUCUCCCUUCCAGUCACACUUGCAGGCUUAGCUGUGCUCAGGAGAACCGGAGACAGAAGAUUUUGUUCCCACUUGUGGCAGAGAAUUCAAGGGGAUGCAGACAUUUCUGGGGGCAGGCUGGUGGCAGAGGAAUUUGAUGUGAGCAAGUCCCAGGGGAAAAGUGAAACUGUCGAACAAUAUCGGAUCUGCUUUGUGAGAUAUCUUUUUCUCCUUGGACUUUCAUCUUCUAG